CCUACGGGAGGCAGCAGUGAGGAAUAUUGGUCAAUGGGCGGGAGCCUGAACCAGCCAAGCCGCGUGAGGGAAGAAGGUACAGCGUAUCGUAAACCUCUUAUGUCAGGGAACAAAGGCGGGGACUAGUCCCCGGAUGAGGGUACCUGAAGAAAAAGCAUCGGCUAACUCCGUGCCAGCAGCCGCGGUAAUACGGAGGAUGCGAGCGUUAUCCGGAUUUAUGGGGUGUAAGGGGUGCGCAGGCGGCCUGUUAAGGCAGCGGUAAAGGCCCGGGGCUCAACCCCGGCGAGCCGUUGAAAGUGGCGGGCUGGAGUUGGAGAGAAGUACGCGGAAUGCGCGGUGUAGCGGUGAAAUGCUUAGAUAUCGCGCAGAACCCCGAUUGCGAAGGCAGCGUACCGGCUCCACACUGACGCUGAGGCACGAAAGCGUGGGUAUCGAACAGGAUUAGAUACCCUAGUAGUC
rnacentral:rRNA from 1 species